rnacentral:rRNA from 1 species
GCGCAGGAAAAGAAACCAACAGGGAUUGCCCUAGUAACGGCGAGUGAAGCGGCAACAGCUCAAAUUUGAAAUCUGGUCCUUCGGGGCCCGAGUUGUAAUUUGCAGAGGAUGCUUUUGGCGCGGUGCCUUCCGAGUGCCCUGGAACGGGACGCCACAGAGGGUGAGAGCCCCGUAUGGUUGGACACCAAGCCUAUGUAAAGCUCCUUCGACGAGUCGAGUAGUUUGGGAAUGCUGCUCAAAAUGGGAGGUAAACCCCUUCUAAAGCUAAAUACUGGCCAGAGACCGAUAGCGCACAAGUAGAGUGAUCGAAAGAUGAAAAGCACUUUGAAAAGAGAGUUAAAAAGCACGUGAAAUUGUUGAAAGGGAAGCGUUUGCGACCAGACUUGCGCCCGUCGAAUCAGCCGUCCCUCGUGGGCGGUGCACUUCGGCGGGCUCAGGCCAGCAUCAGUUUACUGCAGGGGGAGAAAGGCGCUGGGAAUGUGGCUCCUCGGAGUGUUAUAGCCCGGCGCGUAAUACCCCUCGGUGGACUGAGGACCGCGCGAAAGCAAGGAUGCUGGCGUAAUGGUCGUCAGCGACCCGUCUUGAAACACGGACCAAGGAGUCGUCCUAAUAUGCGAGUGUUUGGGUGUCAAACCCCAGCGCGUAAUGAAAGUGAACGGAGGUGAGAGCUUCGGCGCAUCAUCGACCGAUCCUGAUGUUCUCGGAUGGAUUUGA